rnacentral:tRNA from 1 species
ACCCGAUUAGUUCAGCUGGAUAGAAUGUCUGCCUACGGAGCAGAUGGUCGUAGGUUCGAAUCCUGCAUAGGGUA